GGUUGAGUAACCCAUCCCACCCGCAGGUGCUGCGCCGGUUGCCAUGGUAGCCGUGGGCGGAGCCGGCGAGCUCCAACGCGCGGGGAGACUGCGGUCCAGUGAAGCCAAGUCACCAGCGGAGGUGGGCGGGGAGCAGGGUGCAGCCGCCCUGCCUCAUGCCAGUUCCGAGCGCUCCAGGCUCGGGAGCCUGAGACCCAGGGUGACAGCCACCCCCUGCAGCCGCCACCUCAGCUUCGGCCGUGCUUCCUGUUCCUCUGCGGAAUCCGGGUUGAGUGGCCACUCGGUCCCCAACACCUGUUGGGACGUAGAAGAGGGGCUGGACACGCGUAAGGAUUGAAAAGACUCUUUCACCGACUCAGUUGUACCGUGUGAAAUCGAUACAUCCAGAACGAGCUGUAAACUAUGGGCGAAGGAAGCGAUCAUACCUUAUUUUUAAAGACUGUCGUUACAACCUUGAGUUCUCGGCAGACACAACGUCUUUGUUUGUAUGUGGUGCUGAGGAUCGAACCCCGGGCCGCACGCAUGCCAGGCGAGCGCGCUACCGCUUGAGCCACAUCCCCAGCCCAUUGUGAAGUGUGGGAAGUCAAACCCAAAGCCUCAUGAUUGCUAGGGUACAUUGUUCAAGAAAACUGGACCCAAAAAGAGAACAAUUUUACAUUGUAUAAGAAGAACAGAAACAUAAGCAGGGUGUGCUAAGCAGGCUCAGGAUGGCAGAGGCAGAAUUUUCCCCUGGGAGAAGUUUUCCUAUAUGACACAGAGUCUGUUUGGUCAUUGCCCGCAUAGCCCGGCCCAUAACACUCUGGUGCCCUAGCAAGUGCUACUCCACAGAGCGCUCAUCUUGUUCACUGUCAGCGCCUCUGCCUGGUACUUGGAUUCUCCUGUGGGAGAUCUGCAGAUGUUGCCACCAUGCUAUUGCAGGGUGAAGAGGGCCCACUCAGGAGUCCUGUGCGCCUUGUGGCUAUGAACACAUAGAAGUCUGCCAGUCAUCUAGUCGUGAGGAGCGUGCGUAGCGAUGGUUGCCCAGUUGCCAGAGCCGGUCUUGCUCUUUUAAAUGCAUCAAAAAUGCAUGUGGUGCAGUAAAGAAGCAGUCGUGGUCAAUGAGAGCAAAGAAGAUUGAUGGGGAGUUAAUGUAAUGUCCGGGAAACACCAGUACCUUCCCCUGGAGUUCAGCAGCAGCCUGCUAUUGAAACUUUUUGACAUAAAGAGACUGAACUGUUUUGAGGAGCAGCACAUGCAAUGAACAGUUUCCUGGAGAUGUGGUGCACUGAACUGCACCACGCCACAGGACCGUGGUGACAACAUCCUCUGUGGUGGCUCAGUCCACUCUGGCUCUAAAGGCCCCUGCAUAAGGAGGUUUGGCAACAUCUUAGGAGCAGCUCUGUGCCUCGCCAUUCCAUGAGGCAGGCCCACAAGAAGCAAGAGGAUGGGGCCACCCACUGGAAGCUCAGGGAAGCUCGCAUCUCCCCUUUAUGGGUAACCCCCUGGAGUGCAGUCCAAGUCACAUCCCCCAGGUGUCCUUUUCCUGACAGGGGCUUUAUGAUCAAUAAUUCUGAUAACAGGGAUAAUUCCAUUUAGUGGAGUAGGGACCAAUUAACAUUCUGCAUUUACAUUAAUUGAAAUCUAUGGAGAGCAGUGUUUUGUUUUUGUUUUUGUUUUAUAAAAAGGUAAAUCAGGUUAUAUUUCAAGUUUCUCUGGGUAACUGCAACCCACCUCAACCCUGGAUCCACACCUACAGCAUACUCUUUUGUUGAACUUAAAUGAAGAAUGACAUUCCUAUGAAAAUACUAACACAUGCUAAUCAUGCGGGUUGACCACUUAGGAAAUGUGUAGCCACAUCCCUCAAGCACCACUUCAUUCCUCUUUUUAUUUUUUUGUGGUGCUGGGGAUGGAAGCCAGGCCUUGCAAAUAGUAGGCAAGUACUCUACCAACUGAGCUACAUCCCCACCUGGCUCCAUUCCUCCCACAAGAAGUUCCCUGGUGCUGGUUGUAGUCAAUCUCACUCCAUAACCUUGGUGCAUGGCAGCCAAUGAUGAUGCUUCUUCUAGAAUCAUAUGAAUGGAAAAACACAGUACAUGCUUUAUGCUUUUCUUCAUGAUCCAUAUUAUUGUGUGUGACAGUAGCCUUUUUUUAUUGCUAAGUAGUAUCCCAUUGAAUGACUAGAGCACAAGUUUGCUUAUCCAUCCACCUAUGAUGCGCUCCGUUUCCAGGGUUGGGCUAUUGGGAGAGCCUGAUCAACCGGGGGUGUAGUUGUGCCAGGAGCAAAUGUGUAGUCUGUCAUGGUCAGGUUGCCCUGUGAGGGAGGCACCAUGAGGAACCAUGGAAUGCCGGGGACACAGGAAAGCUGCAAUCAGCUUUCAAUCAGCUGUUUUUGAGGGGAGAUUCAGAGAUGUGGGGACUCAGUAGAGAGUGGGUGCAGUCAGGAGAUGGGCCGUUACUCAUCAGGUACCCAGUGAAGGAUGCAGUGUGCAAGGUGUGUCUGGGAAGACAGCAGCCGUGUGUAUUUUACUUUUGCUCUAUGAUCUGGGGGGGAAAUGACGUUCCCUAUGAACCCUGUAGCUGGUUUGAUCUGCAUCUUUCUUCCUCUCCCGAUAAAUGAUUAGGAUUGCUUCUUUUCUUUCUUGCUCCAGGCUGAUUUUCAUUCUUUCAGCCCUGUAUGGUUUUUAUUUAUUAUUAACAUUUUACGACUGUGAAUAAAGGUGAAUAGAUUUUACAUUUUCGCUCUAUUAUGAACAACACUGUUCGAACACCCAUGUAAACAUUGGCAUAUAUUUUCCUUUUUCUUGAGAAUUACUGGGUUAUAUGGCAAGUGUAUGUUUUAAAAAACUGUUACACUGUUUCCCAAAGUUGACUAACAGGAUUUGUGAUAUCCACUGGUGAUCUUCAAUAAAGUUGUCAAUCAUGAUCUCACUCCUUCUCAUACCUUUUUCUUAUUUUCUUUCAGUUCUGGGGGGUUGAAUCCAGGGGCACUCUACCCCUGAGUAUACCCCGAGUCCUUUAUUUUUUUAUUUUGAGACAGGUCUUGCUAAGUUGCCGAGGCUGGCCUUGAACUCGUGAUCCUCAGCCUCCCAAAUCGCCAGGAUUAAAGAUGUACAUGCACCACUGUGCUGGGCUUCCUUCAAACCCUUCUUGGUUUUCCUUAACAAAUUUAAAUUGUGUUUCUCCCUUUCAUCUGUUACUACUUGUACUUUCUGAUAAGGAGAACAGCUGCACUUAACUGCAAUGUUGAUUUUUAAAUGUACUUUAUUUUUUGUUAACCUAUAAUUGUACAUGUUAUGCAUUGUUGUUUUUUCUAAGCAGACUUUUUCAGCUGCCCUGGAGACUACAUU